AGUGAACGCUGGCGAUAGGCCUAACACAUGCAAGUCGAACAGCAGCACAGUAAGAGCUUGCUCUUACGGGUGGCGAGUGGCGGACGGGUGAGGAAUACAUCGGAAUCUACUUUUUCGUGGGGGAUAACGUAGGGAAACUUACGCUAAUACCGCAUACGACCUACGGGUGAAAGCAGGGGAUCUUCGGACCUUGCGCGAUUGAAUGAGCCGAUGUCGGAUUAGCUAGUUGGCGGGGUAAAGGCCCACCAAGGCGACGAUCCGUAGCUGGUCUGAGAGGAUGAUCAGCCACACUGGAACUGAGACACGGUCCAGACUCCUACGGGAGGCAGCAGUGGGGAAUAUUGGACAAUGGGCGCAAGCCUGAUCCAGCCAUACCGCGUGGGUGAAGAAGGCCUUCGGGUUGUAAAGCCCUUUUGUUGGGAAAGAAAAGCAGCAGGUUAAUACCCCGCUGUUCUGACGGUACCCAAAGAAUAAGCACCGGCUAACUUCGU
rnacentral:rRNA from 1 species